UUGAAAUUCAUCGCAUCUGGGAAAGAUAAAGACAUAUUUCAGUCAAGAGUCAAGAGAAAGAUUGUUGAUGAACAGAAAAGAGCAGAUUUGUGUGCAUUUGUGACCACAAACAUCACUACAGGAGAAGAAAUGAUGUUCGACUGUGGAGAUCCUGACAGCUCAUGGAGACAGGUAGCAGGAUGCUUGGUCCAUUACAGACGGAUGGGCAACACCCUCAUCAGACAACUACACCCUACACCAAGAAUCCACUUGGUCUGUCUCUACAUGUCAGAACGAGUAACUUCAGUCUUCAAUGGGAUAAAAGACAAAAAAAUAUCUUAAGCAGAAUGCUGAGCAAAUCAGUGGAAGAGCGUCCUACUAUUGAGGAAUGCCUUCAGGAAGUCAAAACUAUGUUUAAAGACUUAUUGUAGAGUUUACAAUAAGCAUUAAAAUGAUUAGAUAUAAAUACUGGUGUGAAUUUACAGGUUUUGAUCACUGGUCUUAUCAAAUAUGAACCACAAACAGCUACAGCAAUGUCCAUGUGGUUUCAGGAAAUAGUGACACAAAUGAUGAUCUUUCUGAAAUAAGGGCAGCCAUCUCAGAACAGACUUCAGACUUCAGUCUUGGACACAUCAGUAAAUCACUAGUGCCAUUAAAUCAAAACGGUAUGAUCCAUUCACCAUAAACAAUACUGAAGAGCUGAAGAUCAUUGUCUUUUCAUGUUUUCAACUUUGUAAAGUAUGUAUUACUGACAUUACAUUUUUUUCAUUCAUUCAUAUAUUUAUUCACUAUAUAUAUUUUUUAUCUUUUAAUUUUGUUAAAUAGCAAGAGCCAGAAAGCCCUGGUCAGAAACAGAGAGGAAAGUCAUGGAACACUGUUUCAAGAUCUACUUUGAGGAAAUGAAGGUUCCUGGAAAAGUGGACUGUGAAAGAUGCAUAAAUGCAAACAGGAUUCUAAAGGAUAAUGGAAGAGACUGGAAAACAGUUAAAUACUUUGUGCUCAACAGAAUAAUUUCAGUUAAGAGAAGUUUGGGUCAACAGUACU